UACGGAGGAUGCGAGCGUUAUCCGGAAUCACUGGGUGUAAAGGGAGCGUAGACGGCUGUGCAAGCCUGAAGUGAAAGGCGGGGGCCCAACCCCUGGACUGCUUUGGGAACUGUACGGCUGGAGUGCAGGAGAGGUAAGUGGAAUUCCUAGUGUAGCGGUGAAAUGCGUAGAUAUUAGGAGGAACACCAGUGGCGAAGGCGGCUGUCUGGUCUGCAACUGACGCUGAGGCUCGAAAGCAUGGGUAGCGAACAGG
rnacentral:rRNA from 1 species